rnacentral:rRNA from 1 species
AGAGUUGAUCAUGGCUACAGGACGAACGCUGGCGGCGUGCCUAACACAUGCAAGUCGAGCGAGGAGAUCCUCGGGAUGAUCCUAGCGGCGGACGGGUGAGUAACACGUGGGCAACCUGCCUCAUAGAGAGGAAUAGCCUUCCGAAAGGGAGAUUAAUACCUCAUAACAUUGCAGUUUCGCAUGGAACAGCAAUUAAAGGAGUAAUCCGCUAUGAGAUGGGCCCGCGGCGCAUUAGCUAGUUGGUGAGGUAACGGCUCACCAAGGCGACGAUGCGUAGCCGACCUGAGAGGGUGAUCGGCCACAUUGGGACUGAGACACGGCCCAGACUCCUACGGGAGGCAGCAGUGGGGAAUAUUGCACAAUGGGGGAAACCCUGAUGCAGCCAACGCCGCGUGAGUGAUGACGGCCUUCGGGUUGUAAAGCUCUGUCUUCAGGGACGAUAAUGACGGUACCUGAGGAGGAAGCCACGGCUAACUACGUGCCAGCAGCUGC